rnacentral:RNase_P_RNA from 2 species
UGAGUUGGCCAGACAGUCGCUGUAAUGCUUUUAGCAUUAUGGAGGAAAGUCCGGGCUCCAUAGGGCAAAGCGCCAGGUAACGCCUGGGGGGUGUGAACCUACGGAAAGUGCAGCAGAGAGUAGACCGCCUAAGCAAAGUACUUUACUUUGCCGGUAAGGGUGAAAGGGUGCGGUAAGAGCGCACCGCGUGAGUGGUAACACUUCACGGCAUGGUAAACCCCGCUUGGAGCAAGACCAAAUAGGAAUUCAUUGGUGUGGCCCGCACUGAAUUCGGGUAGGUUGCUUGAGGUGUAUAGUGAUAUACAUCCCAGAUGAAUGACUGUCCAUGACAGAACCCGGCUUAUCGGCCAACUCACUUU